UACAAUUUAAAAUAUUUAAUUGUAUGUAUAUACUGGAAUUAAAUAUUUGUCUCAUAAUUAUAUAUAAAUAUAACCUUUAUAAUCGUUG
rnacentral:tRNA from 1 species